rnacentral:pre_miRNA from 1 species
CCUUAAUCUCUGCAUCCAACAUGUGUCACUGAGUCACUAAAACCUUCAGUGCCACUUGUUUGCUGCAAUGGUCAAGGGA